GGUUCUGUGGUGUAGUGGUUAUCACGUCUGCUUUACACGCAGAAGGUCGUGAGUUCGAUCCUCACCAGAACCU
rfam:Octopus bimaculoides Scaffold6925_contig_117, whole genome shotgun sequence.